rnacentral:rRNA from 1 species
UACGUAGGGCGCAAGCGUUAUCCGGAAUUAUUGGGCGUAAAGAGCUCGUAGGCGGUUUGUCGCGUCUGCCGUGAAAGUCCGGGGCUCAACUCCGGAUCUGCGGUGGGUACGGGCAGACUAGAGUGAUGUAGGGGAGACUGGAAUUCCUGGUGUAGCGGUGAAAUGUGCAGAUACCAGGAGGAACACCGGUGGCGAAGGCGGGUCUCUGGGCCGUAACUGACGCUGAGGAGCGAAAGCAUGGGGAGCGAACAGG